UUUCGAGAUGUCAAAAUAUUUUGUUCGCCUUCAUUUCAUUGUAAGAGGAGCCUUAGGUGAGGCACCUUGGAUGGUGACUUCAGUUCACCUGGUACACUGCUUCACCCUGAAGGCAGCAUCCUGAAGUCAGGUACCUGAACAAGCUGGAGAGGGGCUUGUCACAAUACCUCAAAAGCAAUCCCCUUGGACAUGGUUAUAUAUAUUUCACUGUAAGUGAAAGGGAACAAAACAAAUAAAAACACAAUGAGACUCUUUCUCCACGCUGGUACAUUCUUCAAACUUUCUGCUGAGGAUUUCCAACAGCAUUUGUUGUCACAUGGUAAGGGCUCUGAAUGAAAUUAUUGAUGGUAGCUGGAAGAGAAAAAAAAAGGGGAAAAAAUGAAUGAAAUCCCUUGAGACAAAAGGUAUGUCAUGAACUUCUCCAAGUUAUUUUCAAGUGUUUCUGCCAGUAUCAAUAAAUCCCUCAAGUUUCAGGAUAGGCUACAUUAAUUACAGGAUGGCAUUAUGCAUUUAAAGGUUGCUGAAAGUUCUAUCUGUGAUCAGUCAUGUUUGAAUUGCAUGUUCACAUGAAAUAUUUUUUUUUAAAAUAUGUAGGCAUGCAGGCGAGCAGCGAUAGCCUCCACGAUGUUUUAAUAGGCUUUUAUUAGUCUGUACUUUCCUUGUAAUCUUGUUUUACAGUAUGUGCAUUCAAUGUGUUUGUGUCUGUGCUCUUCAUGCACACAUCGCAGGAUGCCAAAACAUCCUUCUGCUUCCUUGUUUCCAACCACUUAGUCAGGCACUUGAAUGCUUUCCAAAUCUUGUUAAAAAACAGCAAUAGCACUAUCACUUCUUCUUGUCAGAAUGUACAGAAAGGGACGGAUGGAGAAGGCAGUGGAAAGGUAAAGGAGGAGGCUGAAUGGUCAGGAACCCCUGGUGGGAGGUCUUCAUAGGUGAGCCCAGUAGAGCCACGGUGCCAUGAUGCCCAGACCUGAUUUGGGGCUUUCCACUGCCUCACUGUGGGGUUUUGGUUCGCUUGCUGGGUGAAAAAGCACUGCAAAGAUCCUCCUUAUACAUUACUUCUAAAUUUAAAAGUUUACAAAGUAAAAAUUCCCUGACUGAAAAUCAAAGAGUAUUUUUCUGUGCUGAUAAAGAUUAAUUCUAUUUCCAUAUUGAACUGUCUCUUUUUUCCUCCAGGAAAAUUUAACAUAACAUUCAAAUAGAGGUGUGUUUUCUUCUGAGUAAAAUAGAUUUAAAAGUCAACUUUAUUUUAGUCACUAAUUUUUCUGAAACUAAACUAACUAGACAGGCCAAACCUAGACUCAAUAAGUGCUACAAAUUUACACUUCUGGUGAGUUGAAAAUUGCUCCUGAGACUGUUGAAAGUGUUUCAGUCAGGUGCAGCCUUUCUGGGUUACACUGGGAUCAUGCAAUGCUGGUGGUCCUGGUAUGAGCUUUAAUUAACUGUAUGCUCACAACUGGAGGGAGCAGGGGAUGAUAGUUUCCCUUGGAUUGCUCUUGCAGAUGUAGAUUCUCUGAUGUCUACAGACAGUUGAGUUCAUCCCAUUGCUACUGGGGAAGGCAGACAUGGUUGCCUUGGUUGCCUGUCUCCAUGAGGGGGGAAUAUCUGACCAGUUUGGUUGCAGUCACACAAUGAAUUUAAAUGUGUGUUGAUGCAGGCGUACGCCCACACACCCACACACCCGCAUGGAUCGUGAUGAGCACCCAGCCCCAACAGCCUUUAGAAACCCAGAUAAAAAUAAUAUUACCUUAGAAAACUUAUGCUGUGUAUGAGUGAGAUGACUGCAGGGCUCCCACUACCUCCUGGGAGGGGCUGGGAUUUCAGCUUCAACUAAGUAACUUGCCAAGAAGUUGUGACACAGCCAUUGCAGGGUGUCCACACUACAGCCCACAGUUGUUCAUGGUCAGCAAAAAAAGCUGGUCAAAUAACAUUUAUCAGAGUGUUCACUUGGCCUAUGCCCCACAUUCUGAAUAACUUGUUUUACAGAUUAUUUUUUUCCCAAGAUGACAGGCUAAAUGCAGGACUUACUAAUAUAAUUCUCAAAAGCAGUCCUUUGUCAAGUCUUGGGAGAAAGUUUGAAGUCAAGUGCCAGGUUUCUCAUCAGAGCAGUGUCUGCGGUCCCAACCAGCUGUGUACUGCGGGAACACACAGCCGUGUGCCAAAACAUCUGCUCAUAGCAUCUCCUUGCAGACGUGGGCUCCAUCAUGUCAGGUAAGAGAUAUCCCAGGACUUGAGGUCGUGUGUUGGAUCUUCUUGCUCCUCCAAAAGGGAAGGACAUGGGUGAGCCUCUUCUGUUAAUCUACCUGUGCUUGGUGGAGCAAGGAUGGAGGACAAGUCAUGCAGGCUCACAUAAAACUGCAUUUUUCAAAUGAGUAGUGUCUUUUUAUUUUUCAGGAGAAUGACAACCCUGGUUACCUCAAGGCUGAUGCACUCUUGGAAAGUGAAAUAUUUAUGGUAAUAGUGAUGGCAGAGAAGAGGAAAUCUCUCUUGUAAGAAAACAUGGUGCAUAAACACACACCAUAGCUCAGGCCACAUCUUCAUUUCACCCAUAAGAAGUUUGUGCAAGUGCAGAAAAGCCCAGGUUUUUCUCUUGCCCCCACAAAGAAACAUAAUCUACAGUUUAUAUCGGAUGGUUUAUGAGAGUUUAUUGGAAUAUCCAACAAGGUUCAUGUGAUGUAUCAUAAGGUAAAGCCUGUUCAUUGGUGAUUUACAAGCAGUGUGUGCUGGUGUUACUGUAAUUUAUAGACCACAGAUGGUCAUGGGGUGCCCCUGCUGACUUGUAGCUGAAUAAGAAGCUGAGCCUUGUGUGUCAUCUGCUGCAGGUACCUCCGGCUCACUUCCCCAGAUUAGUGCUGAUCGAGAUCUGCCCUCAAACCCAGAGGGUCCCAAGACCUUUGCCUUGCAAGCUGGGGCUAUUUCAGGAGGGGAAAGGAUACAAAUGAUUAAGGCUGGGGAAAAAACCCCUAAGCCUAUCAGAAUGACACCAAAGGAAAAUUGCUUUUUACAAUAAUAACUUCCCUUCUCAAGGCUGGUACUUCACUUGAUGGGAUUUUGUCACCUGUUAAAUGGAAAAUGAAGAAUGUCAGUCACCCCCUUCAUAAGCCAGUCAAAGACAAACACCUGCUCUGCAAAAAUUUCUGUAUAUUCAUAGAUCUCCCUUGUAAUGACCCGUAGGAUAGGUCCUAUCUUUGUUGUCAUCAUUUUACCCUUUUAUGUAAUUACUCUUCAACUAUGUUUUACUAUGACUUUUUUUCAAGUUUACCUGUCUUUUCUUCUUUAAACCUUAUAAAAUAAUUACGUGUUUAUUCUGGCACCUCUUUCUGAUUCCCCAGGACUUUGAUUCCGGUGGGUGCAUGAGGCAGAGGGAGAACCUGACUGGCUGCACAUCUCACCCAAAUCUUUGGGAGAUUUACUGUCUUUGGCCAGGGGAUUGGGCCCCUUUUCACUUUUAAUUUCUCUGGUUGACAAAGUUCAUCACGUCACCUCAUAUUUCUCCCAGACGUGUUUUUGUCUUGCUGCGUGUGGCCUUGUCCUGCCCGCAGAAAUACCACGGUGGUCUCCGUCAGGAUCCAGCAGCCUUCGGAGGAACGUGCCAGAUCCAGGGACGCCUGGUGCUUGGCUUGCCUGCUGCAGCGAGGUCAUGCAUUUUAACAAGGCACUGCCGAUCCCCUUUUUAAAGGGCAUUGAUUAUGUUUUGUUAAAAUGGGCUUUGAACUCAGCUGACCCUGUGCCGGUAGGACAUUUCAGGGCUUUUUUUCUGCCUGGACCACACUUGACACCUGUUGGCAAACACAGCUGCAAAUGCUGCUGAGAGAAACCUGCAUCCGAGCUCAAAACUGAGUGGCUCAAUUUUUUCCCAGUAGUAAAGACAUAAGAGAAUUUGGUGGCUUCUCUAGUUAAUAAAGAGAGAAAAAAACCCCAAAUUUGUUUUUCUUUAUCAAGAUGAGGGAAAAAAGCACCCUAUAGACAAAAGAAGCAGAAGGAAAGCUGUAAUGGAAAUAAAACUGACAGCCUCUCAAAACUCAGGUGGCACUUUCCUUUUCCAGUUAAUUACAGUUUUAAUUACAUGGCUUCUUGUGACUCCUUGAUACCUAAUAAACUAGACUCUGUGGGGCGGCAAAGUUGAGUUUUGCUUGAACUGCAGGUGUAAGGCUCAGUAUGAAACAUAAAUCAACUUCUUAAACAUGUUCCCAUGGUGUGUUCAGGCUUUUUCUUCCUAUUUGCAUGUAAAAAUCACAUCUUAUCACCAUUGUUGGGUAAAAAAAAAAGAAAAAUAUUGAAGCUACAAUGGAGAAAGUAUUACCUUUGUGUCUUUGGAUAUAAAAUCCCCUUUUAUAGGGGAAAAAAAGAGAGUCUUUUAUUUUUUUAACCCCAGAUAUGACAAAUUUUAAAGGAGUGAUGCAUUACCUACAUAGACCCUCUCUCAUUAACCUUUUUUUGCAGGGGGUUGGGUGUAUAAGAUAGAAGAGGAAAGUUCUUUGGCAGGAUGAAAGCAAGGGGAGAUCAGUAUGUGGAAAUAAAGAAAUAUUCAGCCCAUAGGAGCUCUGUUUUCCAAACCUCUCCUGAAGGUUUGGAAAACAGAGUGUCUGUUUAUUCUUUGUGUAUUAUGCCAUGGAAAUGUGUUCUCCAGUCAGGCUCAAGCAUGUUCCAUAUAUUACCUCUGAGUGGGGUAACCUGCUGAUGACCUGUAGCAGCAAAAAGCUGGAGACAAAUACAGUCCAAAAGUUCACAUUGGUCUCAAUCCCAUGGGAUCUGAUAGGUCACAAGUCUGUGGCAGGAAAAUCUACUGUCAAGAUGGUCAGUGGAGAUUUCAGUGGAAGAUUUGCCCAUCUAUCUUUCCUCUUCCUCAAACCAAACAAAAUUGUUUUAAAAAAAGUGGGAGGAAGAAAACAGACAGUAGAGCUUCACAUAUGGCGUUUGGAUGGUGUAAAAUAUGAACAGAAAGGUUCAUGUGUGGGACAUGAGUGUAUCAACAAGUCCUUCUUAACCUGUAAGACUGGGAAGGGCUGGUUUUUUACUGUCUUGUUAGUUUUAACUUCAGCUUGUGAUUUGUCUGUUGAAGCAUUGGUUUUAAAUGAGUGCAAAAAAAGGUGUAUUUGUUAUGAGUGAAGAAGGAGAGCUCUGGGAAAUAGGUGCCCAGGUAGCAGUUUUUCAUGCCCAGUAGGGGGAAGAGCCCAAACAGGAAAAAUCAAAAUGUCCUGCUUGCCUUUCAACAAACAUAUUUAUUUCUGUUGUAUUCUCCCAUUGCUCAUUACCUGAAGCAGCACUAUCCAUGGCUGGAGCAAGUGUGCUGAAGUCAGCAGAAGGCCUUUCUUGCUCCUCCAAGGGCUUCCUGAUACCCACCUACUUCCCCCAUGGUACAUCCCAGCCUCAGACCCUGUUCCCUGAAAACCACUGACAUCUCACUGAUGCCCACAGUGUUCAGGGCCACCUGAGGGAACGUCCUAUAUAAAAAUGUUAUAUGACUUGGACAAAGCAGGCAGAUAUCAGCGUUAACUUCAAUAGAAAUCUUGCCUGAAAGAGUCUUCCUGCAGACUAGACUUGUCUGGUGUCAUUUCACCUUGAUGUCCUGUUGAUGACUAUUCUUGGUUGUUUAUUAUUGUUGCUGUUGUUUUUGUUGUUCUUGUUAAAGAUCAUAAUUUCUUUUUUCCCCCACAGUCUGGCUACCUCCUCUUUUUUGCAACUGCAUAUGCUUACCUGAACAACUCCACUUCCAAAUAACAGGUUUCUCUCGGAUUAAUAUUGUGUUCAAUCCCUUGGGUAUAACUAUCUUGUACUCUUGUUGUCUGUUUUUGCGCAGUGUUUGGGCAGUCCACAGCAAAAAUGUGGGGACCUGGACCAUGGUCUGCAAUUUCUGUAAGUUAUGUGGUGUAAGGAAAAUAAAAACCCAACCCAACAGCCAAGAGAGAAUUUUCAAGAUGAGAAAAAGAAUUCCUCCUACCUUCCUCCCAAAUAGUGUGUUUCAUCCUCUUUUUCAAUUAGUCUUGGUUUUAUUUUUGAAACCACACAAAGAGGCAAAUAUACUGUUUCAUAUAGUUUCAUAUAUGGUUUUUCAGAGUGGGAAAGGCAAGGUAAAAUUAAGCAAGCUAGAGAAAAGGAAGGAGAGUG